rnacentral:tRNA from 1 species
GGUUGUUUGGCCGAGCGGUCUAGGCGCCGAUGAUUCAAGAAAUACUUGGGCCGCAGUUAACUGUGGGAAGCCCAGGUAUCGUAGAGAUGCAAGAGUUCGAAUCUCUUAGCAACCA